rnacentral:rRNA from 1 species
CCUACGGGUGGCAGCAGUGAGGAAUAUUGGUCAAUGGUCGGGAGACUGAACCAGCCAAGCCGCGUGAGGGAUGAAAGUACAGAGUAGCGUAAACCUCUUUUGUCAGGGAACAAAGGCGGGGACGUGUCCCCGGAUGAGUGUACCUGAAGAAAAAGCAGCGGCUAACUCCGUGCCAGCAGCCGCGGUAAUACGGAGGAUGCGAGCGUUAUCCGGAUGUAUGGGGGUUAAAGGGUGCGCAGUCGGUCUUUUAAGUCAGCGGUCAAAGCCCGGGGCUCAACCCCGGCCCGCCGUUGAAACUGGCAGUCUCGAGUUGGAGAGAAUUAUGCGUAAUGCGCGUUGUAGCGGUCAAAUGCAUAGAUAUCGCGCAGAACUCCGAUUGCGAAGGCAGCAUGCCGGCUCCACACUGACGCUGAGGCACGAAAGCGUGGGUAUCGAACAGGAUUAGAUACCCCGGUAGUC